rnacentral:rRNA from 1 species
GACGAACGCUGGCGGCGUGCUUAACACAUGCAAGUCGAACGGAAAGGCCCCUUUGGGGGUCCUCGAGUGGCGAACGGGUGAGUAACACGUGAGUAACCUGCCCUUGACUUCGGGAUAACUUCAGGAAACUGGGGCUAAUACCGGAUAGGAAUCCUUGCUGCAUGGUGGGGGUUGGAAAGCUUCGGCGGUUUUGGAUGGACUCGCGGCUUAUCCGCUUGUUGGUGGGGUAGUGGCUUACCAAGGCUUUGACGGGUAGCCGGCCUGAGAGGGCGACCGGCCACAUUGGGACUGAGAUACGGCCCAGACUCCUACGGGAGGCAGCAGUGGGGAAGAUUGCACAAUGGGCGGAAGCCUGAUGCAGCAACGCCGCGUGCGGGAUGACGGCCUUCGGGUUGUAAACCGCAUUCAGCAGGGGCGAAGCUUGUGGUGACGGUACCUGCAGAAGAAGCACCGGCUAACUACGUG